CGAACGGGUGAGUAACACGUGGGCAACCUGCCCAAANAGGGGAUAACACUUGGAAACAGGUGCUAAUACCGCAUAACCAUAGUUACCGCAUGGUAACUAUGUAAAAGGUGGCUAUGCUACCGCUUUUGGAUGGGCCCGCGACGCAUUAGCUAGUUGGUGGGGUAAAGGCUUACCAAGGCAAUGAUGCGUAGCCGAACUGAGAGGUUGAUCGGCCACAUUGGGACUGAGACACGGCCCAAACUCCUACGGGAGGCAGCAG
rnacentral:rRNA from 1 species